CUUCCAGACUCCUACGGGAGGCAGCAGUGAGGAAUAUUGGUCAAUGGGCGGGAGCCUGAACCAGCCAAGUCGCGUGAGGGAAGACGGUCCUACGGAUUGUAAACCUCUUUUGCCGGGGAGCAACGGGGUCCUUGCGAGGGCCCGAUGAGAGUACCCGGAGAAAAAGCAUCGGCUAACUCCGUGCCAGCAGCCGCGGUAAUACGGAGGAUCCGAGCGUUAUCCGGAUUUAUUGGGUUUAAAGGGAGCGUAGGUGGAUUGUUAAGUCAGUUGUGAAAGUUUGCGGCUCAACCGUAAAAUUGCAGUUGAAACUGGCAGUCUUGAGUACAGUAGAGGUGGGCGGAAUUCGUGGUGUAGCGGUGAAAUGCUUAGAUAUCACGAAGAACUCCGAUUGCGAAGGCAGCAUACCGGCGCCCAACUGACGCUGAAGCACGAAAGCGUGGGUAUCGAACAGGAUUAGAUACCCUUGUAC
rnacentral:rRNA from 1 species